rnacentral:rRNA from 1 species
ACGUAGGGUGCGAGCGUUAAUCGGACUUACUGGGCGUAAAGCGUGCGCAGGCGGUGAUGUAAGACAGAUGUGAAAUCCCCGGGCUCAACCUGGGAACUGCAUUUGUGACUGCAUCGCUGGAGUGCGGCAGAGGGGGAUGGAAUUCCGCGUGUAGCAGUGAAAUGCGUAGAUAUGCGGAGGAACACCGAUGGCGAAGGCAGCCCCCUGGGCUGACACUGACGCUCAGGCACGAAAGCGUGGGGAGCAAACAGGA